CAAGGAAUAUUGGGCAAUGGGCGAAAGCCUGACCCAGCGACACCGCGUGAGGGAUUAAGGCCUUCGGGUCGUAAACCUCUUUUCUCGAGGAAGAAGCUCUGACGGUACUCGAGGAAUAAGCCACGGCUAACUACGUGCCAGCAGCCGCGGUAAUACGUAGGUGGCGAACGUUAUCCGGAUUUAUUGGGCGUAAAGAGAGUGUAGGCGGCUUGUUAAGUCGAGUGUUAAAUCUCCUGACUCAAUCAGGAGUUGCAUUUGAUACUGGCAGACUUGAGGGCAGCAGAGGAAAACGGAAUUCCCAGUGUAGCGGUGAAAUGCGUUGAUAUUGGGAAGAACACCAGAGGCGAAGGCGGUUUUCCAGGCUGUUUCUGACGCUGAGAUUCGAAAGCGUGGGGAGCGAAGCGGAUUGGAUACCCGCGUAGUCCACGCCAUAAACGGUGGACAUUAGGUAUGGGAAGUAUCGACCCUUUCCGUGCCGUAGCUAACGCUUUAAAUGUCCCGCCUGGGGAGUACGGUCGCAAGGCUA
rnacentral:rRNA from 1 species